GGGUGCUGUGAGUGUCAGGGGUGUAGUGUGUGUGUGAGGGUGCUGAGAGUGUCAGGGGUGCAGUGUGUGUGCUGUGUGUGUCAGGGGUGCAGUGUGUGUGUGUGAGGGUGCUCUGAGUGUUAGGGGUGCAUUUUGUUUGUGCUGUGUCAGAUGUGUAGUGUGUGUGUGUGAGGGUGCUGUGCGUGUCAGGGGUGCAGUGUGUAUGUGUGUGUGAGGGUGCUGUGAGUGUCAGGGGUGCAGUGUGUGUGUGUGAGGGU